GACGAACGCUGGCGGCGUGCUUAACACAUGCAAGUCGAACGGAAAGGCCCUGCUUGCAGGGUGCUCGAGUGGCGAACGGGUGAGUAACACGUGGGUGAUCUGCCCCUUACUUUGGGAUAAGCCUGGGAAACUGGGUCUAAUACUGGAUAGGACCAUGCUGUAGGUGGUGUGGUGGAAAGAUUAGUUUCGGUAAGGGAUGAGCUCGCGGCCUAUCAGCUUGUUGGUGGGGUAAUGGCCUACCAAGGCGUCGACGGGUAGCCGGCCUGAGAGGGUGGACGGCCACAUUGGGACUGAGAUACGGCCCAGACUCCUACGGGAGGCAGCAGUGGGGAAUAUAGCACAAUGGGCGCAAGCCUGAUGCAGCGACGCCGCGUGGGGGAUGACGGCCUUCGGGUUGUAAACUCCUUUCAGCCAUGACGAAGCCCUUGUGGUGACGUUAGUGGUAGAAGAAGCACCGGCUAACUACGUG
rnacentral:rRNA from 1 species